rnacentral:rRNA from 1 species
GAGGAAUAUUGGUCAAUGGACGGAAGUCUGAACCAGCCAAGUAGCGUGCAGGAUGACGGCCCUAUGGGUUGUAAACUGCUUUUGUAUGGGGAUAAAGUCAAUCACGUGUGAUUGUUUGCAGGUACCAUACGAAUAAGGACCGGCUAAUUCCGUGCCAGCAGCCGCGGUAAUACGGAAGGUCCAGGCGUUAUCCGGAUUUAUUGGGUUUAAAGGGAGCGUAGGCUGGAGAUUAAGUGUGUUGUGAAAUGUAGACGCUCAACGUCUGACUUGCAGCGCAUACUGGUUUCCUUGAGUACGCACAACGUUGGCGGAAUUCGUCGUGUAGCGGUGAAAUGCUUAGAUAUGACGAAGAACUCCGAUUGCGAAGGCAGCUGACGGGAGCGCAACUGACGCUGAAGCUCGAAGGUGCGGGUAUCGAACAGGAUUAGAUACCCUGGUAGUCCUAGCUGUAAACGAUGAUUACUGGGUGUGGGCAUGAAGAGUGUCCGUGCCGAAGCUAAUGCGAUAAGUAAUCCGCCUGGGGAGUACGGCCGCAAGGCUG